rnacentral:lncRNA from 1 species
GGGGAAUUCCUCAGGGACAAGGACUGGAGCCGCAGCAAGAGGCAUGGAGACUGUGAGCUCCAUGAAGACAGGGCCCUCAUCUGUCUUGUUCAGCAAUGUCUCUCCAAGCCCUGGAAUACUGCCUGGCACAGAGGCUCAAGGCGAUGGAGAGGGAUGAGCUCACGUGUGCAGAUUUGCUGGGAAGCCACCUGGAGGCUGCACGACCUGGCUGGGGCUAGGAGGCUGCAGGGAGACUGAGACAGAGGUGCACAGAAAUGUAGAGACCGAUGGAGAAACAGCACGAGCCAGAGCCAAUGAGAGAGAUUGAUGUGGGAAUCUGUGUUCUCGGGCUGAGUUAAUCCCCAAACUCAGCUCCUGGUUUCCAGUUCUCCCCAGCUGCCUCGCUCCUG